AAUGCAAUGAUGUGGAAGUUUCAAAUUUCAUGUAUUAUUCAAUUAUUAUUUUAAGGGAAAAAUAAGUUGAUUUUAAAUUUCAUGGCAUCAACACAUCUCAAAAAAGUUGGGACAAGGCCAUGUUUACCACUGUGUGGCAUCCCCUCUUCUUUUUAUAACAGUCUGCAAACGUCUGGGGACUGAGGAGACAAGUUGCUCAAGUUUAGGAAUAGGAAUGUUGUCCCAUUCUUGUCUAAUACAGGCUUCUAGUUGCUCAACUGUCUUAGGUCUUCUUUGUCGCAUCUUCCUCUUUAUGAUGAAAGAUCUGGACUGCAGACUGGCCAUUUCAGUACCCGGAUCCUUCUUCUACGCAGCCAUGAUGUUGUAAUUGAUGCAGUAUGUGGUCUGGCAUUGUCAUGUUGGAAAAUGCAAGGUCUUCCCUGAAAGAGACAACAUCUGGAUGGGAGCAUAUGUUGUUCUAGAACUUGGAUAUACCUUUCAGCAUUGAUGGUGCCUUUCCAGAUGUGUAAGCUGCCCAUGCCACACACACUCAUGCAACCCGAAGAUGCAGGCUUCUGAACUGAGCGCUGAUAACAACUUGGGUUGUCCUUGUCCUCUUUAGUCCGGAUGACAUGGCGUCCCAGUUUUCCAAAAAGAACUUUAAAUUUUGAUUUGUCUGACCACAGAACAGUUUUCCACUUUGCCACAGUCCAUUUUAAAUGAGCCUUGGCCCAGAGAAAACGCCUACGCUUCUGGAUCAUGUUUAGAUAUGGCUUCUUUUUUGACCUAUAGAGUUUUAGCCGGCAACGGCGAAUGGCACGGUGGAUUGUGUUCACCGACAAUGUUUUCUGGAAGUAUUCCUGAGCCCAUGUUGUGAUUUCCAUUACAGUAGCAUUCCUGUAUGUGAUGCAGUGCCGUCUAAGGGCCCGAAGAUCACGGGCAUCCAGUAUGGUUUUCCGGCCUUGAUCCUUACGCACAGAGAUUGUUCCAGAUUCUCUGAAUCUUUGGAUGAUAUUAUGCACUGUAGAUGAUGAUAACUUCAAACUCUUUGCAGUUUUUCUCUGAGAAACUCCUUUCUGAUAUUGCUCCACUAUUUUUGUGUAUAUUUUGUGUAUAUUUAUGUGUAGCUCUCAUGAAAUCCAAAAUGAGCCAAUAUUUGACAUUUCAAAAUGUCUCACUUUCAACAUUUGAUGUUAUCUAUAUUCUAUUGUGAGUAAAAUAUAAGUUUAUGAGAUUUGUAAAUUAUUGCAUUCCUUUUUUAUUCACAAUUUGUACAGUGUCCCAACUUUUUUGGAAUCGGGUUUGUACAAACAUCACAUUUGGCGACGAGGAUGUCGAUUACAGUUCCUUUACCGGCUCCAUUCCUGCCAUGCCCUGGUGAGCCUUCACUUACUUUUACUGUCUGGCACAAAAUGUUUGAAAAUUACCCUCUUGCAAUCGAUGCUACUCAUGAUGCACGGCCGGAGGAAAGAAAGCGGGCUGUUCUUCUACAUGCUUUGGGUACAGAAGGACAAAGACUGUUUUAUACCUUACCAGACACAGGCAAUACUUAUACUAUGGCUGUCGCUGCACUGAAAAGAUCAUUCCUGCAGUUAAUGUUGUUGCCGAGAGACACAAAUUUAGGCAAAGGGCACAGCGGACUGAUGAAACUGUUAAUCAGUUCCUGGCUGCUUUACGGGAGCUUUCGGCUGCAUGGAGACAUGGAAAAACAAAUGCUACCUGAUCAGCUCGCGGAGCGAGCAGCUAAUUCAUGCAUUCGGGACAGACUUUUGCUUGAACCUGACCUCACUCUGAAUAAAGCUGUCUCGAUAGCAGUUCAAAUGGAGACUGCAUUGAAGAACUCAGAGAUUCUUUCAGAUACUUCACAAGUACAGGCCAUACAGAGUCACCGGAAUGCAAAGCAAUGGGACAAUGGGAAGUCAAGUCAAGUCACCUUUAUUUAUAUAGUGCUUUUUACAAUACAAAUUGUGUCAAAGCAGCUUUACAGUGAUAACUGGUAAAUAAUUUUGGCUGCACAGCAGCUCUUAAAGAAAAUGCCGUCAUUGUCCAGCUUAAGUAAAAUCAGUAUUGAUUCAUUUGGUUGUAAAAAUCAAUAAUUAGUUCAUUUAUCUAUAUAUCAGCACUGGAGAAAACAGUGAUGUCAUCGUCCAGCUCAGUUCUGUUGGCAUACAAUGGUGUCAAUGCAGGCAGGUCAAAACAUUGUUGAAUAUCAAGUGUCCCCAACUAAGCAAGCCAGAAAGACAUCACCUUCCUGUUCAUCAGAUCGCCCAGUCACCAAUGGCAUUCAUGUUAUCAUUGCAGAUCCAACAACCAUCUGGCUAACAAACCACCUCCAGCGAUCAAAGCAGUAUGCAAUUCCUGUGGAAAAAUUGAGCACUUUGCCAAAGUUUGCCGCUCAUCACAGAAACAGGUGUGUGAGAUUGUUAUACCAGAGCUCACUGUAUUAUACAUGAAUGAUCCUAAGACUAUGACAGACAAAAUUCUCUGUUCAGUGCAAAUUAAAACAAAUGAUGGACAUUGUUAGCCAGUGGAGUUAAUUGUGAAAGAAGGUUGAAAGAAAAGUGAAAGAAGGUUGUUCUGGUUCAGCAAAAAUUGAGAAGACUGCCAUUGGCAGUUAGACAAGCAGUUUCUGAGGAACUGAAAAACCUGUUGGAGCAUGACAUAAUUGAAUAAGUUGAUGCUUCUCCAUGGGUCUUCCCAAUUGUAGUGACACAAAAAAGGAGGUGAAAUUUGCAUGUGCUUUGAUUUAAGGGAGCCUAAUAAGGCUAUAGUUGUAGAUAGACCCCUUGCCCCAUAUAGAGGAAUGUUGGCAGAACUGCAAGGGGCGACAGUGUUCUCGACCAUAGACCUGGCCUCAGCAAAUCAUCAGGUUCUAUUGCACCUUGAAAGUCGAGAUUUAACAGCAUUUAUUACCCAGGACAGGUUGUUCCAUUAUAAACUUGUCCCAUAUGGACUGCCUUCGGCUGCGCCUGCUUUCCAGAAGAUGAUGAUGACUAUAUUGCACGGAUUGCCAGGUGUUCAAGCCUCCCCGGAUGACCUAAUUGUUUAUGGAGACACAGAGGGCAUCCAUGACACUCGCUUAAAGGGAUAGUUCACCCAAAAACGGCUCGUGACGACACAUUGAUGUCCUAAGACAUGAAAUGAUCGUUUUGUGAGAGAAACCGAACAGUAUUUAUAUCAUUUUUCACCUCUAAAACACCACUAUGUCCAACUGCCUUGAGGUCUGAAUGCGUUCUGAUGACAGAAGUGAUGUCUCGCGCUUAUACUUCAAUGAGUGCGAGACAUCACUUCUGUUGUCAGAGUGCGACGCUUGUGAUUACGGUGUGGGAGGAGUUCUUUCUCAGCUACACACUGAUGGUGGCCUUUGCCUCGCAAACUCUUUCGCCAGCCAAAAGAAAGUACUCGACUGUGGAGAGGGAAGCACUGACUUGUGUGUGAAGUAUUGAAAAAUGGAGGACGUAUCUCUGAGGUUGGCAUUUCGUUCUGCGCACUGACCACCAAGCCCUUACAACGCUUCUUACAUCCAAGGGCACACUGAGAGCUGGCAUGCGAAUCGCUAGGUGGUCAGCCCAUCUGUUAUGUUUUUCCUAUGAGGUUGCAUUCUGCACUGGGAGAUACAACACAACAGCAGACUGCCUCUCUUGUCUCCCCUUACCUUACCUCCCCUUUCGAUACGGUUCACUUGCAUUAUGGGGAAAACUCCUGUUUUCUCAGAAUCCUGAACCGAUUGGUUCACAUCUGUGCAAAUCCACAGACAAAUAGCCUUUCAUCUCCCCAAAAGGGGCGAGGUUGCCUGCCUAUAUCAGUCACACUGGAUCACUAUCAGAUUAGAAUCUUUCUCCUUCAGCGCGAAUAUCGUAAAAGAGCAAAUUUAAAAGCAAAUUUCAUCAUGAAUGCAUCUCAUGCAGGGCUUCUUUGCCCAUGCCUGACGAGCAUACUGAGUGCGUUUCAUGCCUGGGUUCAUGUCAUGCCCGCUGAGGCGACACUUAGGGUGUACUCACACUAGGCUCUCUGAACCGUGCCCGAGCAAAUUUGACCCUCAAAGCCCGGUUCAUUUGACAAGUGUGAUCGCUCCGUACCAUGCCCGGGCAUGGUUCGUUUAGCCGUCCCUGGCCACUUGGAAGAGGUGGGCCAAAGCACGGUUCAGUUGGGCUCAGACGCAGUAUGCAUGCAGUGUGAGAACAGCUGCUACUUUUGUGUGCGCUACUGUCAUCAUUAUGACGGCAAACAUCUUUAUUACUACUUGGAUAGUACACUUUUCAAUUGAUGUAAUUAAUUUGAGUGUAUUUUGGUUUAUAACGGGUCUGGUUCUCAUCUUAUUGAUGAACAGGAAUUGUAGUAUGUGAGUAAAGCUGCAAAUUCCUCCAUUAACUUCAGCUGCCUUCGUAAUAAUCCUCUGAUAUGUGCAAGUGAAAAUUGCUGCGUGGCAUAAAUGAUAAAUCUAUUAGGCAGCUGUUUAAGGAGCUGCGCAGCACCACUUGGCCCUGUGUGCCAUGAAAGCCAUGGCCAGCCUAGUGGUGCCUGUUUUGCUCCACAGUGGAUGGCUUUGCAGUGCGCUAUAUGGCGACACAGAAGUCAUCACAGGCUAUGCGCCACUUCCUGCUGAAAAGAUCCAUCUCGUCCACAGCCUCCAGUCACUCCAGAAUGGCCCUGCCAACUCAGCAGUGAAUGGCCAGGCCAACCUCUGCGCCCAUUCAGCCCCAACUGUAAGCGGACCCUGAAGUCAAGCCACGCCUCUGCCCGGCCAAACGCUACAGGCCAUCCCCGGAGUGUCGAGCUGGAUAUUGGGGAUAAUAGAAUGAGGCUACUCGCUCCAAUAUCGCUUGCAGACCACCACGCUUCAGGGGCUGAUUCACUCCUCAGUCUCAGAUGACAGUUCUCAUGACCUACGGGCCGAAGUUCAGUCUCUUCUAUAAAAAAAGGCACCGUGGAGAGAAUUCCCACGGAAAGCAGCGAGUCGGGCUUUUACAGCCGCUAGGAGUGAGGGCCCACUCCACUAGAGCAUCCCCACGACCCUAUAAAGGACAAGCGGUUUAGAGAAUGAAUGGAUGGAUGCAUGGUUCAUGGACCAUGGGAAUUUUGAACAACAAAAGCAGACAAUGAAGGAGAAGAGAAGUAGAGACGAUGGAGCUGAAAAUGCUGGAACAGACGAUGGAUCAGAGGAUGGGGCAAUUGUGUGAGAAACCAAUGGAAUAUCUCAACAGAAGACUGAGGGAGUCUAUGCUUGUGUAUUGACAAAACCAGACAGCGUGUUAUGAGUGUGUCCUCCUGGGUAUAAAUAUUGUCAUUGAUGAUAGAGUUAAAUUAAGUCAGCUUAACAAAGCAGCUUCACAAUAAUACACAGAAAAGUAACAAAAUGAAUAAUGCAGAUUUCAUCAAAUAUGAAAAGUUAAAAUUUUGCUGUAAAGACAAUAGUGUAUUCAGCUCAAAUGUGUUUAGUAAGGAUUAAGUUCAGUUCAAUAACUGUGUAAAUUUUAUUUCGUUAUAAAAUAAGCGGCUCUUCUGAAGACAAUAGUGUUUAUUUAGCUCAAUUACCAGUGCUUUUGUUCUCAUAUGAUAGUGUCAGCGCAAUUAAAUCAAUAAUAUUGUUGAAUAUUAAGUUUCCCCAACUGUCCAGAGGUGACAGCGGCAAGAACCCAAACUCCAUCUGUGACAAAUGAAUAAUAAAAAGAAAAUCUUGGGAGAAACCAGGCUCAGUCAGGGGGCCAGUUCUCCUCUGGCAUAGCCUAUAUCAGGGGUGUCCAAACUUGGUCCUGGAGGGCCACUGUCCUGCAGAGUUUAGCUCCAGCUUGCCUCAACACACCUGCCUGGAAGAUUCUAUGCCUAGUAAGACCUUGAUUAGCUGGUUCAGGUGUGUUUAAUUGGUGUUGGAGCUAAACUCUGCUGGACAGUGGCCCUCCAGGAGCAGGAUUGGAAACCCCUGGCCUAUAUAUAGUGUGAAUUCACUGGUGUCUGGGACAAACUGAAGAUCCAAUGUAAUCGGUUUGAUUUAUUAUAAAAAUGUUUCCCCUUACAUCCAUGUAUUCCGGUAUUACAAGUGUUUGUUAUUGUUCCUCUGACUUCUUCUUUAUCCUUAAUUAUGAUUUACUCACUGCUGUCUCUGUGUGUCAUCUGCCAAUUGCUAUCAUCACUUUGCUAUCACCACUGUUAUUGUCAUUAUCUGCCUUUGAUCCACUACUCAUCUGUUCUACUCUGCCUCAACAAACAUCUCAGCAACUGAGUUCUGCAAUGCAUCUGUGUUUGUGCAUCUACAGUCCUGUAGAGUUUAGUUUUA